UACGUAGGGGGGCGAGCGUUGUCCGGAUUCAUUGGGCGUAAAGAGCUCGUAGGCGGCUUGGCAAGUCGGGUGUGAAAACUUCAGGCUCAACCUGGAGCGGCCACUCGAUACUGCCAUGGCUUGAGUCCGGUAGGGGACCACGGAAUUCCUGGUGUAGCGGUGAAAUGCGCAGAUAUCAGGAGGAACACCGGUGGCGAAGGCGGUGGUCUGGGCCGGAACUGACGCUGAGGAGCGAAAGCGUGGGAGCGAACAGG
rnacentral:rRNA from 1 species